UACGUAGGGUGCGAGCGUUAAUCGGAAUUACUGGGCGUAAAGCGUGCGCAGGCGGUGAUGUAAGCCAGAUGUGAAAUCCCCGGGCUUAACCUGGGAAUGGCAUUUGGGACUGCAAGGCUUGAGUGCGGCAGAGGAGACUGGAAUUCCCGGUGUAGCAGUGAAAUGCGUAGAUAUCGGGAGGAAUACCGAUGGCGAAGGCAGGUCUCUGGGCUGACACUGACGCUCAUGCACGAAAGCGUGGGGAGCAAACAGG
rnacentral:rRNA from 1 species